UACGUAGGGACCGAGCGUUGUCCGGAAUCAUUGGGCGUAAAGAGCGUGUAGGCGGCCACUUAAGUCCUGCGUGAAAUCCUGCGGCUCAACCGCAGGCGGUCGUGGGAAACUGGGUGGCUAGAGUGCGGGAGAGGAGAGUGGAAUUCCUGGUGUAGCGGUGGAAUGCGCAGAUAUCAGGAAGAACACCCGUGGCGAAGGCAGCUCUCUGGGACGGUACUGACGCUGAGACGCGAAAGCGUGGGGAGCGAACAGG
rnacentral:rRNA from 1 species